rnacentral:rRNA from 1 species
UACGUAGGGGGCGAGCGUUGUCCGGAUUCAUUGGGCGUAAAGAGCUUGUAGGCGGUUCGGCAAGUCGGGUGUGAAAACUCCAGGCUCAACCUGGAGACGCCACCCGAUACUGCUGUGACUUGAGUCCGGUAGGGGACCACGGAAUUCCUGGUGUAGCGGUGAAAUGCGCAGAUAUCAGGAGGAACACCAAUAGCGAAGGCAGCUCGCUGGGACGGUACUGACGCUAAGGCGCGAAAGCGUGGGGAGCGAACAGG